rnacentral:rRNA from 1 species
ACUCCUACGGGAGGCAGCAGUGGGGAAUAUUGGACAAUGGGCGAAAGCCUGAUCCAGCCAUGCCGCGUGUGUGAAGAAGGUCUUCGGAUUGUAAAGCACUUUAAGUUGGGAGGAAGGGCAGUUACCUAAUACGUAAUUGUUUUGACGUUACCGACAGAAUAAGCACCGGCUAACUCUGUGCCAGCAGCCGCGGUAAUACAGAGGGGUGCAAGCGUUAAUCGGAAUUACUGGGCGUAAAGCGCGCGUAGGUGGUUUGUUAAGUUGGAUGUGAAAUCCCCGGGGCUCAACCUGGGGAACUGCAUUCAAAACUGACUGACUAGAGUAUGGUAGAGGGUGGUGGAAUUUCCUGUGUAGCGGUGGAAAUGCGUAGAUAUAGGAAGGAACACCAGUGGCGAAGGCGA